rnacentral:rRNA from 1 species
AUUGAACGCUGGCGGCAGGCCUAACACAUGCAAGUCGAGCGGAAGAGCGGAGCUUGCUCCUUGAUUUAGCGGCGGACGGGUGAGUAAUGCCUAGGCAUCUGCCUGGUAGUGGGGGAUAACGUCCCGAAAGGAACGCUAAUACCCCAUACGUCCUACGGGAGAAAGCAGGGGACCUUCCGGCCUUGCGCUAACAGAUGAGCACAGGUCGGAUGAGCUAGUUGGGGGGGGAAUGGCUCACGAAGGUGACGGUCCGUAACUGGUCUGAGAGGAUGAUCAGUCACAUGGGUAGUGAGACACGGUCGAGACUUCUACGGGAGGCAGCAGUGGGGAAUAUUGGGCAAUGGGGGAAAGCGUGAUGCAGCCAGGCCGCGUGUGGGAAGAAGGUCUUCGGAUUGUUAAGCGCUGUAAGAUGGGGGGAAGGACAGUAAGUUAAUACCUUGCUGUUUUGACGUUACCGACAGAAUAAGCCCCGGCUAACUUCGUGCCAGCCGCCGCCGUAACAC